AAAAAAAAAAAGGAAGAAGAAGAAAAAAAAAAUAUAAUAAACAAAUCUCUUUAAUUAUUUAUCUUUUUAUUGGAUUUAGAGCAUUUGCGAGCGUUAUUCUAUGAAGUAGGGAUUUUAAUGAAUGAUUCUUUUUGUGAUCUUAGGCAUUUAAUCCUUUGAGCAUAUACUAUUGUUUAUCGCACGAAUUCCAGCAUUUUCAUACUUCUAUCCAAAUCUCCGUACCUUUGCCCUAGCCCCAUUACAAACUUGGUAAAGACCCUUUGAUUCUGGUAUUUACUUAUUCACAGUAGCGAAGAUAUGAUUUAUGAGCAAGCUUAUGGUGAGCGGGUCUUGUGCAUUUGCUUUAAGGGAUUUGUUAUUCACCUAAUAUACACUUUGAGCGACUUGAGUGAUCCCUGUGAGGCAUU
rnacentral:lncRNA from 1 species